GAUGAACGCUGCCGGCAUGCUUAACACAUGCAAGUCUACUUGAACUUCGGUUUGGGCGGCGGACGGGUGAGUAACGCGUACAGAACUUGCCUCACAGUUAGGGACAACAUUUGGAAACGAAUGCUAAUACCUGAUAUUAUGAUUUUAGGGCAUCCUCAAAUUAUGAAAGCUAUAUGCGCUGUGAGAGAGCUUUGCGUCCCAUUAGCUAGUUGGAGAGGUAACGGCUCACCAAGGCGAUGAUGGGUAGCCGGCCUGAGAGGGUGAACGGCCACAAGGGGACUGAGACACGGCCCUUACUCAUACGGGAGGCAGCAGUGGAGAAUAGUUGACAAUGGACCAAAUGUCUGAUCCAGCAAUUCUGUGUGCACGAUGACGUUUUUCGGAAUGUAAAGUGCUUUCAGUUGGGAAGAAAAAAAUGACGGUACCAACAGAAGAAGUGACGGCUAAAUACGUG
rnacentral:rRNA from 1 species